CAGAUAGUUCCUUCUGUAGAGGUGCAUUGGCCAAUGAGUAAUCAAUCAUCAUAUCAAUAAAACCGAUUGCUUUUGCAGCACGACUUCUUAAUGGACCUGGCAAUUUCAGAAAGCACGAAAAUGUGAAAACAUAUACAUGUAAAAGUUGCAACAAAACACAUUAAAUAAAAAUAGCUUAGACAGAUUCAGAGCAGGUUGUGUAGAUUUUUGAAUUGUCUACCAUUUAAUCCAGUGGAGGAAAAAAGAGAGAGGGAAGGGUGGAACAAACUUAAUUGCAUGUGCUUUCAAGCCAAGAUAGUAACACCAUUUGGAAAUCUUACUAAUAAUUCCAUUUGCCUCUUAAUACGGCAUUUAUAGCAAAUUAUUUUAAGGAUGAUUACCAACAAAACCACAACUAAUAUUAUCUAAAUUAUCAACUUAUGGAAAAUCAAUUUAGGUGGUUCUCUGCUCUGGACUUUGGAGGGCCCAUCCGUACUUUCAGUCUUACAGAUACCACAGGCCAUCUAUGUUUCCAGAAAUUAAGAGAAAGCAAGUUCCAGUUCCAAUAACAUAACUCAAGGGCAGAUUCACAACUCAUCCUCAGUGAUAGCCUCCAAAAAGCCAACUAUCGCAACCAUUUUCCAUGUAGACACUUGCUUCCAUCAAAAUGGCCAAUGCCAGGAUGCUUUAGUUAUAUGUACGAACUAUAUUUUGGCAAGAUGGUGAAAUUAUUUCCCCAUAUGGAAUGGAUGUGCUCUAACUAGUAGAAUGAUGAAUCAAACAGAAGCUAGCAAAUUGUAUCAAGUCCAGGGGAAGCACAUGUGCAUCACUAGGAGGUGAGGGGAUCACAAGAAUUUAUGCAUUUCAACCAGAGAUCUUCUAAAGAAUAGUCAGGAAAAAGUGAUAAUAAUAUUUGAAUGAAAUACAUGCAGUGGACUAUAGUUACAUCCUGCUUCUAAAUUUUAAUUUUGAAAUCAGGAAUUCUCAGUAAUUCAAAAGCACUGGCCAGCAUGACAAAAAUAGCAACUAGUUUUGGGUAAUUAGACCCCUUGUGAAUACAAACUACUUUACCUGCAGAAAUAGUGUUGACUCUGAUUUUAUGCUUUCUUCCCGCCUCGAAAGCUAGCACCCGUGUGUCACUUUCUAAAGCAGCCUUUGCUGAACUCACGCCUCCACCAAAUCCUGGAAUGAUCCUUUCAGAAGCAAUGUAGGUUAGAGAAAUUGAAGAACCACCUGGA
rnacentral:misc_RNA from 1 species